GAUGAACGCUAGCUACAGGCUUAACACAUGCAAGUCGAGGGGCAGCACAGUGUAGCAAUACACGGGUGGCGACCGGCGCACGGGUGCGUAACGCGUAUCCAACCUUCCCGUUACUCUUGGAUAGCCUUCCGAAAGGGAGAUUAAUACAAGAUGGUAUUCAAAUUCCGCAUGUUAUUUGAAUUAAAGAUUUAUCGGUAACGGAUGGGGAUGCGUGACAUUAGAUAGUAGGCGGGGUAACGGCCCACCUAGUCUACGAUGUCUAGGGGUUCUGAGAGGAAGGUCCCCCACACUGGAACUGAGACACGGUCCAGACUCCUACGGGAGGCAGCAGUGAGGAAUAUUGGUCAAUGGUCGGAAGACUGAACCAGCCAAGUAGCGUGAAGGAUGAAGGUUCUAUGGAUUGUAAACUUCUUUUAUACGGGAAUAAAACCUCCCACGUGUGGGAGCUUGUAUGUACCGUAUGAAUAAGCAUCGGCUAACUCCGUGCCAGCCGCCGCGGUAAAAC
rnacentral:rRNA from 1 species